GUGUGGUCUUUCUUUUUAAAAAGUGUGCCCCCUUUGGGAGGCCGAGGCGGGUGGAUCACAAGGUCAAGAGAUCGAGACCAUCCUGGUCAACAUGGUGAAACCCCGUUUCUACUAAAAAUACAAAAACUUAGCUGGGCAUGGUGGCGCGUGCCUGUAAUCCCAGCUACUCGGGAGGCUGAGGCAGGAGAAUUGCCUGAACCCAGGAGGCGGAGGUUGCGGUGAGCCGAGAUUGCGCCAUUGCACUCCAGCCUGGGUAAACAAGAGCGAAACUCCGUCUCAAAAAAAAAAAAAAAAGUGUGCCCCGUAUCACAGUUUUACAGAAGGUUCCUGGAAGGUGCCUCGAGUGGACCUCUCGGAUGCUGAGGUCCUGUCGGCGCCCCUUUGUCUCCCCGUGCGGCGCCGAGCGCAGUGCGGGACGCACAGGAAGUGCUCUGAAACAGGGCUGGGGCGAGGGCGGCAGCCGUGCCCGGAGGGGGCGCCCAGAACACAGGGACUCGGCCGGGUCGAGUUCUGUUCCCCCCAAAGAAAAAGAGUCACCGGGACGGGAGCCAGGAACCCGGAGUUCAGCUCUGAGAACCAGAGUCAGGAUGACCCGGGCCGGGGCUGGCGCCCCUUCCUUCCGGAGCUCCUCGACGCCCGCCCGGCCACCCACCUCCGCGUCCUCACCUUGUACACCUUGCCGACGACGCCGUCGCCCAGCUCGCCCACGAUCUCCCACACCUCGUUGGGGUCCAGGUCACGGCGGACAUGCUCGUAUUCGCGGGACUUUCUCUUUUCGAAGGUAGACAGGCGCAGGAUGCGACGGAAAUUGGCGAAAGCCAUGGCCAGGGGCGCGGUGGCACCUGGCUCAGGCUCGGGUUCUGGCUGUGGCUAUGGCUCUGGCGGCCGCGAGGAGAAGAAGGAGGAGUUGAAGGACGCCGCGGCUCCCGAGGUUCUCCCCAGAUCCGCCCUUCCCGCAGCCCGACCUCGAUCAAGUGCGCUUCGGGCGCGCGGCUCCUGGAGCACCCGCCGCGUCCCCGCCCCGCCCUGUCCGGUCUCCCGGGCCGCCUCCCUCGUGUCGGCCCCGCAGCCCCCGCCGGCCCUGCUCGCGAGGAGCCCGGGACCCGUUCCGGGGGACCGUCCCCGCGCUCACCCACCCGCCAUGCUCCACCUGCCGCUCCCCGGCAGCGCCCCGAGACCCCCUAACUGGCUGCCGGUGCUCCCCGGCUCCGCCCGUCGCCGCAGGGCACUCUGGAAACUGUAGUCCCCGCACACACCUCGCCGGGAGCCUCGGGCCGGGCUUUGGAGAAGCUUCGGGGUUUGCUGGGUGCGACCGUUCGAGGUCUCAGGAGCCCUCCCGCCACG
rnacentral:lncRNA from 13 species